rnacentral:rRNA from 1 species
GAUGAACGCUAGCUACAGGCUUAACACAUGCAAGUCGAGGGGCAGCAUUAGGUAGCAAUACUGAGAUGGCGACCGGCGCACGGGUGCGUAACGCGUAUCCAACCUUCCCGAUACUCAGGGAUAGCCUUCCGAAAGGGAGAUUAAUACCUGAUGGUGUUUGAAUUCCGCAUGUUAUUCAAACUAAAGAUUUAUCGGUAUCGGAUGGGGAUGCGUGACAUUAGAUAGUAGGCGGGGUAACGGCCCACCUAGUCUACGAUGUCUAGGGGUUCUGAGAGGAAGGUCCCCCACACUGGAACUGAGACACGGUCCAGACUCCUACGGGAGGCAGCAGUGAGGAAUAUUGGUCAAUGGUCGGAAGACUGAACCAGCCAAGUAGCGUGAAGGAUGAAGGUUCUAUGGAUUGUAAACUUCUUUUAUACGGGAAUAAAACCUCCCACGUGUGGGAGCUUGUAUGUACCGUAUGAAUAAGCAUCGGCUAACUCCGUG